UUUGGUUGCCAAGAUGAGCAGAAGCACCCUCUUCUCUCAUCUGUUUAUCAGGUAUAAUCUUCAAACUCUAUCAUUUUCUAGGUUGUAUUUCAUAUAGAUUUGGAUAUUGAAGGAAUUUUGAAUGAAGACUUGAUUGUGCAACAGAUUGGAACCUAAUAAUGAGUAGCUUGAUACUUGAGAUUGUUAGUUAAUCAAGGCAUGGACCCAACAAUGUUUGAAGCAACGACUAGAGCAAUAUUCUGAAAGUGAUGUUUGAGAGGUAAUUAUUUUUAUCAAAUAAGCAGUUUCUGAAAUGGGCUCCCAAGAAAUUAAAAACCUUUGAAUGUAAUUUUGAAAGUAGGAGAAACAUUUUAACAUGUGUUCUAUAUCUAUCCUUGGUACAGAUGAUAUAUCCUCGUUUGAGAGGUAGACUACAUGUCAUACAUCCUUUACAUGGCCUGGUGAGUGAUGUCGGGUAUAAUUUUUUCUUUUCUCUGUUUUUUUUUUUUUUUUUUGGUUAGUGGAUUUUUUAACAGAUGAAUCUCAGGAUAAUGAUCUAUGAUUUAAGAGGUGGAAUUUAAAUGGGUAUUGUUGCAUUUACAGUAUUGUGAGCCUUGACAUGUUUACCUUUUGAAACAAAACUAAAGUUUACCUUCUGCGCAAUUUCACAAAGAGAAGACAAGCUGCAAUCGUGUAUACUUACGUGUGUGUGUCCUUUAUAUUCCAUUAAUAU